AUUGAACGCUGGCGGCAGGCCUAACACAUGCAAGUCGAGCGGAGUUUUGGUGCUUGCACCAAGACUUAGCGGCGGACGGGUGAGUAAUGCUUAGGAAUCUGCCUAUUAGUGGGGGACAACGUUUCGAAAGGAACGCUAAUACCGCAUACGUCCUACGGGAGAAAGCAGGGGAUCUUCGGACCUUGCGCUAAUAGAUGAGCCUAAGUCGGAUUAGCUAGUUGGUGGGGUAAAGGCCUACCAAGGCGACGAUCUGUAGCGGGUCUGAGAGGAUGAUCCGCCACACUGGGACUGAGACACGGCCCAGACUCCUACGGGAGGCAGCAGUGGGGAAUAUUGGACAAUGGGCGGAAGCCUGAUCCAGCCAUGCCGCGUGUGUGAAGAAGGCCUUUUGGUUGUAAAGCACUUUAAGCGAGGAGGAGGAGCUCUAGGCUAAUACCCUAGAAGCUUGGACGUUACUCGCAGAAUAAGCACCGGCUAACUCUGUGCCAGCCGCCGCCGUAAAAC
rnacentral:rRNA from 1 species